GUUGUUGUGGCCGAGAGGUUAAGGCGAUGGACUUGAAAUCCAUUGGGGUCUCCCCGCGCAGGGUUCGAGUCCUGCCAGCAACG
rnacentral:tRNA from 1 species